AAACAAAAGCCAAAAGGACUGGAAUUGAGAUGGCACUAGAAGCUCUAAACUCUCCAACAACAGCAACUCCAACUUUCCAGUUUGAAGAUUCGAGCAGUCUUCACUGCCUUGCAGAGCCAUGGACUAAACGCAAGCGUUCCAAGCGUUCACAUCACCACCAACCUACUGAAGAAGAAUAUCUCGCUCUUUGCCUUGUCAUGCUUGCUCGCGGAACCACCUCACUAGCCGCCCUCUCUACUUCCACCACCUCACACCGCCACCGCUCUCCUACUCCAUCCCCACCGCAGCUUCCGUCAUCUUCGGAUGAUCAGAAACAUAGGUACAAGUGCACCGUCUGCAACAAGGCUUUUUCUUCCUACCAAGCUUUAGGUGGACACAAAGCAAGUCACAGGAAACUCGCCGGAGGUAGCGGCGGCGAAGAUCAAUCAACUUCAACUACUACUUCUACCAGCACAACGACCGCCUCCGCCACCGUAAGUGGAAGGACUCAUGAAUGUUCUAUCUGCCA
rnacentral:lncRNA from 1 species